rnacentral:rRNA from 1 species
UACGAAGGGGGCUAGCGUUGCUCGGAAUCACUGGGCGUAAAGCGCACGUAGGCGGACUCUUAAGUCAGGGGUGAAAUCCUGGAGCUCAACUCCAGAACUGCCUUUGAUACUGAGGGUCUUGAGUUCGGGAGAGGUGAGUGGAACUGCGAGUGUAGAGGUGAAAUUCGUAGAUAUUCGCAAGAACACCAGUGGCGAAGGCGGCUCACUGGCCCGAGUACUGACGCUGAGGUGCGAAAGCGAGGGGAGCAAACGG